UACGACGUAUCAGAGUUUGAUCCUGGCUCAGGAUGAACGCUGGCGGCGUGCAUAACACAUUCAAGUCGAACGAGGUAGCAAUACCUAGUGGCGGACGGGUGAGUAACGCGUGAGCAACCUGCCCUUGUGUGGGGGAUACCGUCUGGAAACGGACGUUAAUACCGCAUAACAUAACGGAAUCGCAUGGUUCUGUUAUCAAAGAUUUAUUGCGCAAGGAUGGGCUCGCGUUGGAUUAGAUAGUUGGUGAGGUAACGGCCCACCAAGUCUGCGAUCCAUAGCCGGACUGAGAGGUUGAACGGCCACAUUGGAACUGAGAUACGGUCCAG
rnacentral:rRNA from 1 species